CCCUUCGGGGUGUGACUGCGUACCUUUUGUAUAAUGGGUCAGCGACUUAUAUUCUGUAGCAAGGUUAACCGUAUAGGGGAGCCGGAGGGAAACCGAGUCUUAAUUGGGCGUUAAGUUGCAGGGUAUAGACCCGAAACCCGGUGAUCUAGCCAUGGGCAGGUUGAAGGUUGGGUAACACUAACUGGAGGACCGAACCGACUAAUGUUGAAAAAUUAGCGGAUGACCUGUGGCUGGGGGUGAAAGGCCAAUCAAACCGGGAGAUAGCUGGUUCUCCCCGAAAGCUAUUUAGGUAGCGCCUCGUGAAUUCAUCUCCGGGGGUAGAGCACUGUUUCGGCUAGGGGGCCAUCCCGGCUUACCAACCCGAUGCAAACUGCGAAUACCGGAGAAUGUUAUCACGGGAGACACACGGCGGGUGCUAACGUCCGUCGUGAAGAGGGAAACAACCCAGACCGCCAGCUAAGGUCCCAAAGUCAUGGUUAAGUGGGAAACGAUGUGGGAAGGCCCAGACAGCCAGGAUGUUGGCUUAGAAGCAGCCAUCAUUUAAAGAAAGCGUAAUAGCUCACUGGUCGAGUCGGCCUGCGCGGAAGAUGUAACGGGGCUAAACCAUGCACCGAAGCUGCGGCAGCGAACGUAUCACCCAAGACAACUUUACGGAGUUGACGAUUGACGGAGCGAAGCGACGUCAAAGCGUUCAUUAAAGUCGAGUUGGCUUAGGGAUACGUUCGUUGGGUAGGGGAGCGUUCUGUAAGCCUGUGAAGGUGUGUCGUGAGGCAUGCUGGAGGUAUCAGAAGUGCGAAUGCUGACAUAAGUAACGAUAAAGCGGGUGAAAAGCCCGCUCGCCGGAAGACCAAGGGUUCCUGUCCAACGUUAAUCGGGGCAGGGUGAGUCGACCCCUAAGGCGAGGCCGAAAGGCGUAGUCGAUGGGAAACGGGUUAAUAUUCCCGUACUUGGUGUUACUGCGAAGGGGGGACGGAGAAGGCUAUGUUGGCCGGGCGACGGUUGUCCCGGUUUAAGCGUGUAGGUGUGUGUUCCAGGUAAAUCCGGUU
rnacentral:rRNA from 3 species